rnacentral:rRNA from 1 species
UACGUAGGGGGCGAGCGUUGUCCGGAAUUAUUGGGCGUAAAGAGCGUGUAGGCGGUCCGGUAAGUCAGCUGUGAAAGUCAAGGGCUCAACCCUUGAAAGCCGGUUGAUACUGUCGGGCUAGAGUCCGGAAGAGGCGAGUGGAAUUCCCGGUGUAGCGGUGAAAUGCGCAGAUAUCGGGAGGAACACCAAUGGCGAAGGCAGCUCGCUGGGACGGUACUGACACUGAGGCGCGAAAGCGUGGGGAGCGAACAGG